CUACGGGAUGCUGCAGUGGGGAAUAUUGCACAAUGGAGGAAACUCUGAUGCAGCAACGCCGCGUGGAGGAUGACGCAUUUCGGUGUGUAAACUCCUUUUAUAUGGGAAGAUAAUGACGGUACCAUAUGAAUAAGCACCGGCUAACUCCGUGCCAGCAGCCGCGGUAAUACGGAGGGUGCAAGCGUUACUCGGAAUCACUGGGCGUAAAGCGCGCGCAGGCGGCGAGAUAAGUUGGAAGUGAAAUCCUAUGGCUCAACCAUAGAACUGCUUCCAAAACUGUUUAGCUAGAGACUGGGAGGGGAAGAUGGAAUUAGUAGUGUAGGGGUAAAAUCCGUAGAGAUUACUAGGAAUACCAAAAGCGAAGGCGAUCUUCUGGAACAGUACUGACGCUGAGGCGCGAAAGCGUGGGGAGCAAACAGGAUUAGAUACCCUCGUAGUC
rnacentral:rRNA from 1 species